rnacentral:rRNA from 1 species
UACGUAGGGCGCAAGCGUUAUCCGGAAUUAUUGGGCGUAAAGAGCUCGUAGGCGGUUUGUCGCGUCUGCCGUGAAAGUCCGGGGCUCAACUCCGGAUUUGCGGUGGGUACGGGCAGACUAGAGUGAUGUAGGGGAGACUGGAAGUUCCUGGUGGUAGCGGUGAAAUGCGCAGGAUAAUCAGGAGGAACACCAACGGCGAAGGGCAGCUCUCUGGGAACGUUACUGACGGCUGAGACGCGAAAGCGUGGGGAGCAAACAGG